ACCCCAGCGAGGCCACCUCUGCCAUGGGGGCCCUGGUCAGGGCUCCUUGGCGGCCCUGGGCCUGGUUCUUAAAGCCCCUCUGCUGCUUCCUGCCCCUCCCUCCGACUGGGACCCCAGGUGUGACUCUGGUUGACUUUUGAGGGAGAGGGACCUUGUCACCCUUCCAGGGUCCCCUCCCCUCCCUUCCAGCCCCCACAUCCCUGCUUCUGGCGCUCUGUGGGGACACUAUGCACUACCCCAUGGGCACCCUCUGUGCACAUGAAAAGCAGGCUCGGGUAGGUGACGGCACUCGGCGGUGUCCCUGCCACACAGACACCUCCCCCUGUCCUCGUGGGGGAGCCCCACACUGGGGUCAGGGCUGGGCCCUGUGGUCAGGGCUGGGCCGCUGUGGUGGGGUGCAGGUCUGGCAGCAGGAGGGGCACCAGGGCCGGCUGGCGUCCGGGAGGACGAAGUCAACUGGAGAGGGCGAGGGGUCCGCUCGGCCACUUCCUUCGUCACCAGAGUCCUAAUCUAGCCACACAUGCAAGGAAGGAGGGAUCAGCCAGGAAGUGACCAUGCAGAGUCCUGGACAGAGCCAGCCUCCGAGCCUGAGAGGGGACUGAGGCUGAGAGCUGCGGUGGGGUCAAGGGACUCCGCACCAGCACCCAGUUGUCCCUCAGCCCAUGCCUGUGUCUCCUGGCAACGGAGAUGGGGGCAGGCAUCCUCCACAAGCAGAAGAGGAGCCAAGUUUCCUGUCCAGGAAUUCAGGCGAGAUGCUCACGCUCAGGAAGACGUCUGGCCCGCGAUGCUCACGGCAGCCCUGGGAAGGGGGGCCGGGAUGUGCCCGGCAACAGCCCCUCCAUGGGACGACGCUGUGACAGCACCAGCAGAGCCCCUGUGAGGACAUGUGACAUCCCCAUUCCUGUCGGGCGGUGUCCUGGCCCCUCUCCUUGGGGAGAGAGCUGGGGCCUGCUUUUCUCCGACUGGUUCUUUGUACUUUGGAAUUUCCCACGUCCUGUGUUACUUGCCAUAAAAACUGACAUUAUUUUUAAAAUGCCGACUAUUAGCCUUGAAAAGGGAGGAUCUGUAACAUGGAGGGACUUGAGGACGUGAUGCUGGGUGACAGAAGCCACAAAAAGACACACACUGCCCACUCCACCCUGUGAGGUCCUGGAGCUGUCAAGUUCAGACAGAAAGUGGAGGGGCGGGGCGGGACCGGGCUGAGGCUUCCCUGGGGACAGUUUUAUCGGAUAGGGGCACUCUGGAGAUGGUGGUGACAGCGCAGGACAUUGUGAUUGUGCUCAGGGCCCUAGUGGCACACUGAAAAAUGGUCACAAUGGUAAAUUUAUAUGAUAUUGAUUUAUCUAUAUUGUACCUGUUUUUUAAAAAUAUUUUUUUAAACAGAAAAUUUGGCAAAGAGA